rnacentral:lncRNA from 8 species
ACAAUAACGUACGAAAACCCAAAGUGACGGUCUACUCAGAGUCCAACCCUGAGUCGAAUGUGAACACCCUGCUAUGUCUGGCUGGAGACAUGUUUCCAGACUUGGUCAAGAUCUCAUGGAAGAUGGAGGAUGAAAACGGCAGAGCAGUCGAGGUGCCUAAAGCAGAGGGGGAACAACUGGAGCAGAGGGAGGAAGGACAGACGACCAGUAUGAUCAUCACUGAUAAAGAGAAGAUUUACAGGAACAAAUACAUCUGUUCUGUGGAGCAUGAAGGGGGCCCUCAAGAUGUUUACAUGCUAAAAGAUCAACCAACUGAAGCUCCGCCAACCACCGUGGCUGCACCAACCUGUUCGUUCAGAAAUGACACACAGCAGUCACAGUCUCUACAUCUUACCGAUGAUUCCUUCCAGUCAACGUUUAGUCUGAACCUGGCCUCUAUCCUUUACACAGUGAUGAUAGUGAAGAGCAUGGUGUACUGCUGUGGGCUCUCUAUCCUGCUGCACCACAGGAGCUUGGGAAGAGGACCCAGCACCUGUAGACACAUUUAUUGAAAGGAUACCCCCCCCCCCCCCCCCCAUUUAUGGAUAGAGUUGUAGUGGGCUGGGAGUAACAUGGAUUUUACAUGCCAUUGAGGUCUAACAUUUCAUUUGUAUUGCUUUUAUUUUUCCUGCUUUAUUUUUUAGAUGCUACAAUAUUGUGAGCCAUAGAUUUCCAUGUCUUCUAAUAGCUUCAACUGCCAAAUAUGACAAUUGCAGCACAUUUAAUUGUGUAUAUGGAGUAUUGUUUCCCUCCUUAUGUGGGAGCUACCCACUGCAGACACAUGAAUAAAGAUUAAGUUAAGGUUUUCUGAAAAAUAAGCAGAGCAAAUCUUGAAUGUAAAUACAUUAUGAUUUUAAUUUAGACUUGUUUUGUUAGUUGCCCUGCAAUAUGUCAUAGAGGUAGGCCUAAAUUAUACUCACAACCUGUAUUUAAUUUAUACAAAAUAUGUCAUUAUUAAAUAUGUAGGCCCAUGAGUUCUAAAUCAUUAUCCAAUAUAAUAUUUAGUAACUUGUCUUGAAGUGUAAUUUUUCUCAAGAAAUUACUUUGUUUCACAUCUCAAUAAAUGAAUAAGAGAAUCAAUUUUUGCUUUAAAUUCUAAAUGCUGAGUGCUUAUUGAGCAUAAAAAUUGGGCUAUGCGCAAAAUAAUUUAUUGGUGCUUUUGUACAUUAAUACAAUGUUUUUUUAUACAGCUUUUAUGAAGAGUAACACAGCCUGCUCAAAUGAACCAAGUUGCUCAAAAUAAUAAUAUCCUUUCAGAUGAGGAUGGAUUUAAUAAACGCAGCCUUUGUGAACGAAAAGUUACAACAAUGGUUCUGCAAAUGAUUGUAAAUAACUUUUUUACAGUUCCUUGCUAACCCCCCCCCCAAAAAAAACAUUGCAUUUCUUUACUAUAAGAUCAUCUAUUCAUAUUUGUGAAUGUUAUUUGAUUAAAUCUCAUCAGCAGCAGAACAAUAAAAUUGUAAGAUCCCCCAUUCUCUGUUUUCAACUUGUUUGCUUCAAUGUGCAUGUUCCAACACAGAUGUUGAGCCUAGACUCAAUAGUGGUGGGAAAAUGUGGUUAAUUUAUAUUUGGUUUUCUAAAGAAAUGUGAAACGGUACUUACUGGAAACAAGAUAUAGCUAGCUGCAUAACCACAGCUCGAGCGUGUGAUGAGUUGGUUAUCCAAAGCUGCUGGAUGAUUAGUUUUUAUCUUGAACCGUUUUCUGCUCUAUUUGUGGGUUCGGCUCCUGCCAUCAAAUUGAAGAAUAUGACAGCGAUGGCAGACAAAACGAGUCCAUAAUGGUAGCUUAUGGUUCUUUCAUUUGUAGAAUUAUAGCCCUAUGACAAAACAAGCUCUUACUUCUGUUUGUGUACUUUUUACCUUGAAACAAUCAAAUUAAAUGAAAUCAGAGUUGAGUGUUUAAUUUGUUUUUAACACAUCUUUUGAAAGGAAAUUAACAUUGUUAUCCAAAGAAGUAGUAAAUACAGUAGGUUUACGUUUCCACGUUAUGUUAUUACCAUUUAUUCUGUUUUAAUGUAACGUGCUACCAAAAUGUAAUAUUAAUUGCUUUCUUUUAUCUUCACUUCCUAAAGAAGAACAUGUGCAAAUGUUACAUUUCAUUAAAAUCUAAAGAAAUGCAAAACAGAACUUAUAUAGGCCUAUAAUAUCAAUAACAGAUUAAUCAUAGAAUUGUAACUUUCAUAAAUACACGUUAUUGAAUUGACAACCAAUGUAACUCAUGAUCAAAUGUGGUAGGUAACUGUUAGGCUACUUCAUAAUAGGCUACUUUAUAAACAAACACAUGCUUGUCACUGUGAAAAUGAACUUGGUGUCUUAAAAGGUGAACCUAAUUAAUUUACUGUAUUGAAUAAGAGAAUACUAUGUUUAGUGGGUCUUAAAUAUAGAACACUAAGGCCAGGAUUAAAUCUGAUCAGUCUUUUAAGGUGCACGCUAUGUGCACCUUAAAAGGCAACCACAAAAAGGUCGAUGUCCGCACCCCCGCGGAAAUAUAAUUACCAUUAAAAAAAAAUCACCCAUAACCAGUCAGUUUGAGAUAUCUGGGUUGCAUUGAAUGCGUCUCAAUCCACCGCAUCUGUCAUUUUCGACAUUCCGUAUCUGCGGUGAAAGGUGACAGAGCUAGAGCGGUGUUUGUCAAAUCAUGAGACAUCCGGAUAAUCAGUCUUCUCACAAAAUCGUCUGUAGCGUCCGAACGGUUUGGCCUACACCCUAUUAUGAGCCCUCUAUGGAAAGAUGACACUCUCACGAACACGGUGGUGUCCGAACAGUUUCGGCUACAUACCCCUCAGUGGAAAGGUGAGACUCUCACAGGCCCCAUAAAAC